CCUCCAUGGAUGCUCCACGUAACUCUACCAAUUAAGGUACUUUGGUGGCAAGUGGUUUUCCUAUGGUAAAAGGUCUCCUGAAGGACACCUUGCUGGGAAGGUCUUCUCUCUGACAUCCACUCAUGAAGCUCUACGACUUCCUAAGGUCCUUUGAUAUAGGCUGCUGUCACCAAAUUCCAACACCAGUGAGAAGAACUGAGCUAUGCUGGAGACGCAUUUAUCACCUGAAAUCUCUUGCCACCAGCACCUGAGCUGAACAAUUACACUCUUAAUAACAACUUCCAGGUAAUAACUCAAUAUAUAGAAACUGAGUGUUAAUGGCUGUUCAUCCCAACCUGCACACUGCUGUGUUCUGCCUCUUGCAUGGUGUUCCAUAAUUCAUGUGCUCACACAAUCCCUCCGCUGCCAUCGAUGCAGGCAGAAAUUCACUCUCUGACACGGCCUGCAAAAAAACCCAUUCAGAUGCUUCAGCUUUUAAACGUGCCGCAGAUGGAAAGCAUUGGUGAUGGUGUGUUAACAGAAACUCUCUGCUGCCUCCUUCCUGAGUGCUGGCCACUGCAGGCAACAGCAUGUCAGUGCUCCAGACUCAGAUAUGAGCUGAAAAUUACACGUUUGGAUGAUUAACUCCAUUUCACCUGCAGAUGUUAUCUACUGUAAUGAUUGAUAAAGAGACUGUUGUGGUCAUUGGG
rnacentral:lncRNA from 1 species